GAGGAUGUAGCUCAGUUGGUAGAGUGCUUGCCUCACAUGCAUAAGGCCCUGGGUUCAAUCCCCAGCACCACA
rnacentral:tRNA from 1 species